GUUGUUGCCAUAGUAAUCCUGCUCAGUACGAGAGGAACCGCAGGUUCAGACAUUUGGUGUAUGUGCUUGGCUGAGGAGCCAAUGGGGCGAAGCGAUAAUGGACAAGGCAAAACCAAAAGAAUACAUCUAAAUCCACAACCAC
rnacentral:ncRNA from 1 species